rnacentral:misc_RNA from 1 species
GAUGAAGAACGCAGCGAAAUGCGAUAAGUAAUGUGAAUUGCAGAAUUCAGUGAAUCAUCGAAUCUUUGAACGCACAUUGCGCCCGCUAGUAUUCUGGCGGGCAUGCCUGUUCGAGCGUCAUUUCAACCAUCAAGCCCUGUUUAGGCUUGUGUUGGGGCCCUGCGGUUGCCGCAGCCCCCUAAAUGCAGUGGCGGGCUCGUUGUCACUCCGAGCGCAGUAGCGUAUCUCGCUCUGGGCGUGGCGGCGGGUGCUAGCCGUGAAACACCCACUAAGGUAGACCUCGGAUCAGGUAGGAAUACCCGCUGAACUUAAGCAUAUCAAUAAGCGGAGGA